UGUGCAAGAGGAAUUCCGAGCUCUCCCCACGUGCAACCUCGUUCCCCCACUCCAUCUUUGCAAGCGCAAAGUCCAGGGUCCGGGUGCGUACUCGAAGGCAGUACUCUGCCUCGCCCUGAGCCAUGGCUUGGAAAGAGAAGGAAGAGAAGCGCGCGUGCACACGUGUGCUACACACACACAUACAUAUGCACCGACACACACGCCCCCACAGGCACCCGGCUCCCAGCGUUUCCAAAAGCGCGUGUCCGCUUCCCGGCUGAGUGGAGCAGGCCGCGAAACUGCGCUGGGGCGUUGGGUGAUGAGAAUGGCUCCCCCGCAGUUUCUCGGCCUUCGGGCUCACAUGCAGUUCAAGAAGUACAAGAUCGGAGUUCGAGGAUAUUCAGGCCUACCGUGAAAGAGGGGUUCGGAUGGGGCCGGCAGCCCACCCAGUUGAUCCAACAGCUGCCUCCAAAAGGAUCUUCCUGAGACACAAAGUGAGCAGGUCAAACUGUUGCAGGAAGGGGGACCCUUUUCAGGGCCCAAAAGCUGGCUCUUGUCGAACACUCGGAAAUGAAUUGUCCAAGGAGACACACGUGCUGACAAAGCAGGAGACUUUAUGGGGAAGGGGCCCCCGGGCGGAGAGCCGUGGGUUUUUAUACUUAUUACAUUCCAUGUCUUAUUGCUGUAGCCAGAAUUUUCCAAGGAAAUUAAAU